UGGGGAAUAUUGCACAAUGGGCGCAAGCCUGAUGCAGCCAUGCCGCGUGUAUGAAGAAGGCCUUCGGGUUGUAAAGUACUUUCAGCGGGGAGGAAGGUGUUGAGGUUAAUAACCUCAGCAAUUGACGUUACCCGCAGAAGAAGCACCGGCUAACUCCGUGCCAGCAGCCGCGGUAAUACGGAGGGUGCAAGCGUUAAUCGGAAUUACUGGGCGUAAAGCGCACGCAGGCGGUCUGUCAAGUCGGAUGUGAAAUCCCCGGGCUCAACCUGGGAACUGCAUUCGAAACUGGCAGGCUAGAGUCUUGUAGAGGGGGGUAGAAUUCCAGGUGUAGCGGUGAAAUGCGUAGAGAUCUGGAGGAAUAUCGGUGGCGAAGGCGGCCCCCUGGACAAAGACUGACGCUCAGGUGCGAAAGCGUGGGGAGCAAACA
rnacentral:rRNA from 1 species